ACACAUGCAAGUCGAGGGGCAGCAUGGUCUUAGCUUGCUAAGGCCGAUGGCGACCGGCGCACGGGUGAGUAACACGUAUCCAACCUGCCGUCUACUCUUGGACAGCCUUCUGAAAGGAAGAUUAAUACAAGAUGGCAUCAUGAGUCCGCAUGUUCACAUGAUUAAAGGUAUUCCGGUAGACGAUGGGGAUGCGUUCCAUUAGAUAGUAGGCGGGGUAACGGCCCACCUAGUCUUCGAUGGAUAGGGGUUCUGAGAGGAAGGUCCCCCACAUUGGAACUGAGACACGGUCCAAACUCCUACGGGAGGCAGCAGUGAGGAAUAUUGGUCAAUGGGCGAGAGCCUGAACCAGCCAAGUAGCGUGAAGGAUGACUGCCCUAUGGGUUGUAAACUUCUUUUAUAAAGGAAUAAAGUCGGGUAUGGAUACCCGUUUGCAUGUACUUUAUGAAUAAGGAUCGGCUAACUCCGUGCCAGCAGCCGCGGUAAUACGGAGGAUCCGAGCGUUAUCCGGAUUUAUUGGGUUUAAAGGGAGCGUAGAUGGAUGUUUAAGUCAGUUGUGAAAGUUUGCGGCUCAACCGUAAAAUUGCAGUUGAUACUGGAUAUCUUGAGUGCAGUUGAGGCAGGCGGAAUUCGUGGUGUAGCGGUGAAAUGCUUAGAUAUCACGAAGAACUCCGAUUGCGAAGGCAGCCUGCU
rnacentral:rRNA from 1 species